rnacentral:rRNA from 1 species
UACGAAGGGGGCUAGCGUUGCUCGGAAUCACUGGGCGUAAAAGGUGCGUAGGCGGGUCUUUAAGUCAGGGGUGAAAUCCUGGAGCUCAACUCCAGAACUGCCUUUGAUACUGAAGAUCUUGAGUUCGGGAGAGGUGAGUGGAACUGCGAGUGUAGAGGUGAAAUUCGUAGAUAUUCGCAAGAACACCAGUGGCGAAGGCGGCUCACUGGCCCGAUACUGACGCUGAGGCACGAAAGCGUGGGGAGCAAACAGGG